rnacentral:rRNA from 1 species
UACGGAGGGUGCGAGCGUUGUCCGGAAUCAUUGGGCGUAAAGCGCACGUAGGCGGUGGGGUAAGUCUUGUGGUGAAAGGCCGGGGCUCAACCCCGGGCAGGCCCGAGAGACUGCCCCGCUGGAGACAGGCAGAGGCCAGCGGAAUUCCGGGUGUAGCGGUGGAAUGCGUAGAGAUCCGGAAGAACACCGGAGGCGAAGGCGGCUGGCUGGGCCUGAUCUGACGCUGAGGUGCGAAAGCGUGGGGAGCGAACAGG